CUCGGAGUUUGAUCCUGGCUCAGAUUGAACGCUGGCGGAAUGCUUUACACAUGCAAGUCGAACGGUAGAGGGGGCAACCCCUCGAGAGUGGCGAACGGGUGAGUAAUAUAUCGGAACGUGCCCAGUCGUGGGGGAUAACGUAGCGAAAGUUACGCUAAUACCGCAUACGAUCUAAGGAUGAAAGCGGGGGACCGUAAGGCCUCGCGCGAUUGGAGCGGCCGAUAUCAGAUUAGGUAGUUGGUGAGGUAAAGGCUCACCAAGCCAACGAUCUGUAGCUGGUCUGAGAGGACGACCAGCCACACUGGGACUGAGACACGGCCCAGACUCCGUACGGGAGCAGCAGUGGGGAAUUUGGACAAUGGGCGCAAGCCUGAUCCAGCCAUGCCCGCGUGCGGGGAAGAAGGUCCU
rnacentral:rRNA from 1 species